AUAUAUAUCCUGUGUGCUGAGAUCCUUUUUAAUUUGAGGUUCCCAACCUGAGACAUGUAGGUGAACCGAAAAGAUGAGAUAGUUCCUGUCAGUGACCAGUUAAAUGGGUGUUAAAAAUAAGAAAGUCUCAUUGAUUCUAUUAGAGGAUGGAGCUGAAGCUGUUCAUCGUCCUGAUGCUCUACUGGAACCUGCACACCACUUAUGGUAGUAAGUAUAUUUACAUUUAUAUUUAUUCAUUUAGUAGAUGCUACAUGUUAUCCAAGGUGACUUACAAAUGAGGAAAUACAAGCAAAGUCUCAGAUAUAUUCACACCACUGACAGUUACACACAUAUUUUUACAUACUUUUAUGCAUUUUUAUACACAGUCCUAUGUUAUCCAGGUUUAAAGAGCAUUGUUAAAUGCUUAAACACAAAUAUGUAUACGGCAGGUCAUACUAGGAUCCUUUAGUGUUAGGACUGAUUAAAAUGUUAACUCUAGGACACUCUGACCAGCCUGUAGACAUUUAAUAUGCUGUAAUUAAAGUUGUUUUCAUAUCUUUUAGGUUGAUCAGCCUGGAAUAAAGUGGUCUGUUUAAAUGCUGGGAGUUGAGAAUACUUAAUGUACAUAAUGUGCGUGUGCUAAUGGCCACACCAUUUACACAGCAAUAUUAAAAUUUCACUGCGGUUUAAACCAAGCAUGAACUUAAAAUAUAGCUAAUUCAAUGUUUUUUCUCAUAAUAACACAAAUGUGAUAUUUUCACAUAAUUCUCUCGUAAUGCAACACUUUCAGUUUGUUACGAAGCGUAGACGGAGACAAGCGCGGGCGAGCGGAGAGAUGACGUGAGAAAGAAUCCAGAACGAGAAUCGAGUCGGGACCGAACAGGUAAGCUGUGUAUCAGGGACGUAGGCAAAAGCGUAGUGAGAGACGAGCGUGAAGUCGAGCACCAGGGAAAACAGUUCUAAUGAAAUCGGCUUGGUAAACAAACAGAGACGAGGCUGCUGAGCAGUUACUUCGCACGCGGCUAAUGCUAGGGAGGCCCUUAUAUAACCUCAAGUGUUUGCAGGUGUUUGUGAUUAGAACUCUGGCGAACUCGAGCACGGGUAUGACUGGGAAGUGUAGUCCUCCUCCGCCACGUCCCUGGGCGGCGCUACACUUUGUGAGCUGCCGCGCCGAUUUCGCCGUGUCGUAACACAGAGACAUACCAUGUGGAGGUUACAGAGCAAAACAUUGCUGUCCUAAAGUGUGGCAAACAGACCAAAGGUAAUGUGACCUGGAGCAGAGACGUUGACGGAAACAGGCUGGACAUUAUCACCGUCCAAGGUGGAAAAGUGAUCAAACACAUCAGAGACCCACAAAGACGUUACAACAUAGGAGCAAGUCUAAUCCUGAUCAUAUUGAGAGUCUCGCAGUCGGACGCUGGUCAAUAUCACUGCAUGAGGAGCACAGUGGAGCUCAAUGUGAUAGCGAAAAGUGGAGUGAGUGUGUGAGACACUGCUGAUGAUGGCUGGUGUUGCUGUAGCUCUGUUGGUCUUGGCUGCAGUAGCUGCAGGAAGACUGAUCCACCUCCACGCCUGGCAGGCGGGUCGGACCGCAGGAAGAGACUCGGUCUGGCUCGGCUUGGAUUAGAAAAAUAUUCCUUUACGCUGCAUUAACAGCAGCUCUUGUUCUGAUCAUGUCUGGAGACUCUUCAACUGUCUGUCAUUAGUUAUGGAUCGCUAAACAUUGCUGGACAGAGCAUUUGUUCUGGUUUAACAGUUAGUGUCUGGCAUAAGUAUUUAAAAAAAUGGGAUUAAAAAAUUUUAAUAAAU